rnacentral:RNase_P_RNA from 1 species
UCAGACGAUCGGGCGGCCGCUCCGCCGCAGGGCGGAGAGGAAAGUCCGGGCUCCACGGAGGCACGGUGCCGGGUAACGCCCGGCGAGGGUGACCUCAGGGAAAGUGCCACAGAAAGCAGACCGCCCGCAUCCGGUGCCGCAAGGCACCCGUUCGCGGGUAAGGGUGAAAGGGUGCGGCAAGAGCGCACCGCCGGCGCGGCAACGCGACGGGCACGGCAAACCCCACCGGGAGCAAGAUCGAAUAGGGACGGCACAGGACCCGCCUCCGGGUCGUCGUCCGGGUUGAUCGCACGAGGCCGUCGGCAACGGCGGUCCCAGAUGAAUGGUCGCCAUCCGCCGGUGCGGCCCAUCCGGACCGGCGGAUACAGAACCCGGCUUACAGGUCGUCUGACCCC